AAUUUUUAACACUGGGGGAAACGCUGAUCCAGCCAUCCCGCGUGUACGAUGAUGGNUUNNGGGUUNUNAAGUAUUUUUGGCGGNNNNNUAAAGGUAUCCNCUAAUACGGGAUACUGCUGACGGUAUUUGCAGAAUAAGCGCCGGCUACCUACGUGUCAGCAGCCGCGGUAAUACGUAGGGUGCAAGCGUUAAGCGUAAUUACUGGUCGUAAAGCGUGUGUAGGCGGUUCGGAAAGAAAGAUGUGAAAUCCCAGGGCUCAACCUUGGAACUGCAUUUUUAACUGCCGAGCUAGAGUAUGUCAGAGGGAGGUAGAAUUCCACGUGUAGCAGUGAAAUGCGUAGAUAUGUGGAGGAAUACCGAUGGCGAAGGCAGCCCCCUGGGAUAAUACUGACGCUCAGACACGAAAGCGUGGGGAGCAAACAG
rnacentral:rRNA from 1 species